GACGUAGGUGGCGAACGUUAUUCGGAAUUAUUGGGCGUAAAGGGCGCGUAGGCGGCCAUUCAAGUGACGGGUGAAAGCCCUCGGCUUAACCGAGAAACUGCCUGUCAGACUGGAUGGCUUGAGACCGGGAGAGGUGAGUGGAAUUCCCAGUGUAGCGGUGAAAUGCGUAGAUAUUGGGAGGAACACCAGUGGCGAAGGCGGCUCACUGGACCGGAACUGACGCUGAGGCGCGAAAGCGUGGGGAGCAAACAGG
rnacentral:rRNA from 1 species